rnacentral:rRNA from 1 species
GACGAACGCUGGCGGCGUGCCUAAUACAUGCAAGUCGAACGCACUCUCGUUUAGAUUGAAGGAGCUUGCUCCUGAUUGAUAAACAUUUGAGUGAGUGGCGGACGGGUGAGUAACACGUGGGUAACCUGCCCUAAAGUGGGGGAUAACAUUUGGAAACAGAUGCUAAUACCGCAUAAAACCUAAACACCGCAUGGUGUAGGGUUGAAAGAUGGUUUCGGCUAUCACUUUAGGAUGGACCCGCGGUGCAUUAGUUAGUUGGUGAGGUAAAGGCUCACCAAGACCGUGAUGCAUAGCCGACCUGAGAGGGUAAUCGGCCACACUGGGACUGAGACACGGCCCAGACUCCUACGGGAGGCAGCAGUAGGGAAUCUUCCACAAUGGACGAAAGUCUGAUGGAGCAACGCCGCGUGAGUGAAGAAGGUUUUCGGAUCGUAAAACUCUGUUGCUGGAGAAGAAUGUAUCUGAUAGUAACUGAUCAGGUAGUGACGGUAUCCAACCAGAAAGCC